AUGAUGAGGGGACUAAGGAGACUCCAAAUUCUACCUCCAGCUAUUCCUCUCGCGAGCCUUGGUUGUGAGCACAUUGCCGCUGCUUACCCUCGCAACGCUCUGACUCGGUACGCAUGCCAGGCUCGUAAGAGAGGAAGAAGAUAAUGCCUGUGGUCAAAGAUGGAGGCAUGCAGCAGAUACAACCUGCUGUGCCAGGCGAUCACGUAUUUACAUUUUCCUGCAAGUGUUGGCCUAAUUAACUUAACAUGCCUGAACACACAUGCUCUGUAAAUUAAAAAAUUAAAACUAGUCAGAUUUUUAAAAUUAUAAAUAGUACAUCACGCUUCUACAAAAAUAAAGGCUUUAAAGGUUAUACAAAAGUAAUAUUAGCAGUACUUGGAUGCAUUUUCAUAUGCUAAAUCAAAAAGCACUUAUCUAGCACCUAUAUAUAGAUUCUUCAGAAAUUUAUUAUUUAAAACACUGUUAACCAG